rnacentral:rRNA from 1 species
UACGAAGGGGGCUAGCGUUGCUCGGAAUCACUGGGCGUAAAGGGCGCGUAGGCGGCCAUUCAAGUCGGGGGUGAAAGCCCAGGGCUCAACCCUGGAAUUGCCUUCGAUACUGUUUGGCUAGAGACCGGAAGAGGUAAGUGGAACUGCGAGUGUAGAGGUGAAAUUCGUAGAUAUCGGGAGGAACACCAGUGGCGAAGGCGGCGACCUGGGCCAAUAUUGACGCUGAGGUGCGAAAGCGUGGGGAGCAAACAGG